rnacentral:rRNA from 1 species
CCGGAUGGAUCACCAGUGCUGGAAUGCUAGGUGGUUUAAAGGUAACGCCCUUGGAUGGGUCUGCGGCGGAUUAGGUUGACGCCGGUGUAACGUACCGGCGUGCCUGUAAUCCGUACGGGUUGUGGGAGCAAGAGCCCGGAGAUGGAUUCUGAGACACGAAUCCAGGCCCUACGGGGCGCAGCAGGCGCGAAAACUCUACAAUGCAGGCAACUGCGAUAGGGGGACAUCGAGUGGCAUCCACCUUGGGUGCCUGUCCAACCGUCUAAAAAACGGUUGUUAGCAAGGGCCGGGUAAGACCGGUGCCAGCCGCCGCGGUAAUACCGGCGGCUCGAGUGGUGGCCGAUAUUAUUGAGUCUAAAGGGUCCGUAGCCGGCUUUGCAAGUCCCCUGGGAAAUCCAGCGGCUUAACCGUUGGGCUUCCAUGGGAUACUACAUUGCUUGGGACUGGGAGAGGUAGGAGGUACUCGGGGGGUAGGGGUGAAAUCCUGUAAUCCUCCGGGGACCACCGGUGGCGAAGGCGUCCUACCAGAACAGGUCCGACGGUGAGGGACGAAAGCUAGGGGCACGAACCGGAUUAGAUACCCGGGUAGUCCUAGCCGUAAACGAUGCCCGCUAGGUGUCACGACGGUCGUGAAUCGUCGUGGUGCCGUAGGGAAGCCGCGAAGCGGGCCAC